rfam:Triticum aestivum genome assembly, contig: Triticum_aestivum_CS42_TGACv1_scaffold_320649_4BL
UGUGUACUUCCUCCGUUCCAAAAUACUUGAUUUCCAUUUGUCCAAAAAUGGAUGUACCUAUAUACUAAAACAUGUCUAGGUGCAUAUAUAUUUUGACAAAUAGAAGGCAUGUAUUGUGGAACGGAGGGAGUAGAAU